GAGGCGGCGGCGCGGCUGUCCCGGCGCGGAGCCGGCCCCGGGCGGGGGGGGGGGAGGCGGCUCCUCGCCUCACAAGCAGCGGCUGCCGUUUCCCAGUACCAGGGGGAAGCACAUGGACUGCGGUCACUUCAGGAGUGCCCUGGCGUCGAGACACCCUUGUCCUCUAGUCCCAGCCCUGGUUGCAGGACAGCCUACAAUGCAUCAGUCUGCUUCAAAUUUAAAAAGAUGAGGAAGAUCAGUAAAGCUGGAAAACACAUAGAACUGAGUCUGAACCUUUAGACUGAAUUUGAGUCUCUUUCUACAGCUACAGACCCAGAAGGAAUCGCAGAUCUCCGUGUUGCAGGUCUGGUGAGAAGUCGGUGUUGAACACCCCGAGGUCUGUAUUUACUCAGUGAACUGACCUGUGCUGGAGGUGGUAAGGAGCGUUUCUUCUCACGGUUCCUCUGAAUGCCAUACGCUGCUCUUCAGCCACGCGCGCACUGGGCCUGGCAUUCGCAUCUCUGCUCAGCACCAGUUAGCGAUGGCAAAAAUAAUAUCCCAGAGUUGUUUUCAAGUUUGAGGGUGAGGAUGAUCAAAAGGACACAGGCGCUUUCGGAUGCAAAGCACUCCUGAUACAAGAAAAUAUUUGGGAAAAUCCCUUUUUGCUCUGAAUUUAAACUGCUCUUAUCCAGAUGCAUCUAUACUUGGCAUUAACAGAGAAUUAAUUUUGUCAUCAAGCUAUUUCUCCGUGUUUGAUAAAAUUUCAUUUCAGAAAUAAAGGAUUUAUAGCUUACUUUCCCUCAAUGCACAUUAUCAUUUAUAUAACUGACAGCUUCAGUUGUUAAAAGCAGUACAUGAGGUUUUUUCCAAUAAAGGGCUCACAUCUUUCUGACAUUUAUUACAAGUUUAUUGCUUCUAUAUCCUUCUCAGUGAAGCUGUUUCAUUCAUUGUGGGAGUGUCUGAAGUACAGAUUUUUCAUUACUUGUGACUUACCAUUAAUUUUAGGCCCAAAGUGGUUUCAUUUUCACUGAUGGCUAAAACCAGGAAGGGCAUAAAAACACAUGUCAAUUAAGUCAAUUAAGCUAAGAAAACUCAUCUGGGAUGAAAGGGGAAGGUAAAGGUAUGGGUUUUACCCAGGUGAUAUACUUGCCUCCUCAGAGCAGAGAGAAGGUGGGUUAGUCACUCUUGAUUUACUUUGGAAUAAAAAUCACUGCCUAGAAGAUUAAGCGAACUGGUUAUGGGGUACAGGGUGCUUUCACUUCUGUAUCACCAUUGUGGUGAUUAUGUUAAGACAACAGAGUCCUUAACUGAGUAGCAUCUUUUAUCCCAGGUGGAAAGUAAAUUCUAAAGGACAUUUCGGUAUCUGCACACAGAUGCCAAAAUCGGAGUGCGUAUUCACCUGUGGAGGGAGAGGCCACCCCGAGCCAGCUGGUCGCAGUGCCGGAGAAUGGUCCUGGGCAGGUUUAAUGCACUAGGACAGAUGAAGCCUUGAGGAGCGUUCCUCCAAGUCCUAUGCGCAUGGUAAUGAUCCUCAAAAAUCAGCAUAGGUAACUGCUUCCGUUGGGGACCACGGUUGCAAUCCUAGCCCCCUAGGUCACAGAGCUGAGCUCGUUUAAUAGUUUCUUCCCUUUUGCAGGACAGGAUCCUGUCCUUUGUCUAGAAAUGCAUCAAAUUUCCAUAUUUGUAAUAUUUGCUUUUGAUUCUCGAUAAAGUUUUAGAUGUCAGAUAGAGAUCUGCCACCUUGCCAAACCUCAGUAACGAUUUCGGUCACGUCCACUCUAAUCAUUUCUCUAGCUUGUUCACAGUAAAACUUACAUGAUAAAUGACAACAUCAUUUUAGUAAAACUCAAUUUUCUUUGUCAAUACAAUUUAUCUUUCCCCUUCAAAUGAUCUCCUUUUUUAAAAUUAAAACUUCUGUUACCGGCAUUAACCUAUCAAUUGUUUUGGUUUUUUUUCCCCUUAAUCUGUGCUUCCAAUCUCUAUCUGCAUGAAGGGCAAAUUGUACUUCAAAAUCUUAUACAGAAACAAGGCCUUAUGAA